GCCGGGGUGGUGGAAUUGGCAGACACGCGGGACUCAAAAUCCCGUGCCCUAAAAAGCGUGGGGGUUCAAGUCCCCCCCUCGGCACCA
rnacentral:tRNA from 3 species